UGGGGAAUAUUGGACAAUGGGCGCAAGCCUGAUCCAGCCAUGCCGCGUGAGCGAUGAAGGCCUUAGGGUUGUAAAGCUCUUUCACCGGUGACGAUGAUGACGGUAGCCGGAGAAGAAGCCCCGGCUAACUCCGUGCCAGCAGCCGCGGUAAUACGGAGGGGGCGAGCGUUGUUCGGAAUUACUGGGCGUAAAGGGCGCGUAGGCGGCGCGUUGCGUCAGGUGUGAAAGCCCCGGGCUCAACCUGGGAACGGCACUUGAUACGGGCGUGCUGGAAUCCGGCAGAGGAUGGUGGAAUUCCCAGUGUAGAGGUGAAAUUCGUAGAUAUUGGGAAGAACACCGAUGGCGAAGGCAGCCAUCUGGGCCGCGAUUGACGCUGAGGCGCGAUAGCGUGGGGAGCAAACAGGAUUAGAUACCCCCGUAGUCC
rnacentral:rRNA from 1 species